CUCUUAUCCAGAGUGGUGGAGGGAACGGCCCUAUGAAGCCCGGCAACCGUCAGUUUCUGAUAGGUGCUAAUUCCAUCAAAGCAGUCAUCACUGUUUUGAAAGAUAAGAG
rnacentral:ncRNA from 2 species